AUGGAAGCAGCGGUGGAGGAGGAGGAUGAGGUAGUCAACACUGUUUCUUAUGGUUUUUUUUUAAUUUAAUUGUGGUAGCCCACAAAAUAUUGGGACAACUCUCUUCCGCAGAGUAGCUGUUGACAUUAUAGUUGCGCAGGCACUUUGCUGACUCUAGAGAACCUCGGGCCAAUCGCACAUCCCCGUGGUGGCGACUUUGCAUUCAGAUGUCAUACAUAUCAACUUUCGAUGCCAGUUUCUGCGCCUACCAUGGUGACCACGGCUAACGGGGAAUCAGGGUUCCAUUCCAUACAGGGACCCUGAGAAACGGCUACCACAUGCAAGGAAGGCAGCAGGCGCGCAAAUUACCCACUCCCGAUGCGGGAAGGUAGUGAU